rnacentral:rRNA from 1 species
UACGUAGGGUGCAAGCGUUAAUCGGAAUUACUGGGCGUAAAGCGCGUGUAGGCGGCCCUGCAAGUCGGGUGUGAAAUCCCACGGCUCAACCGUGGACACGCCUUCGAAACUGUGAAGCUUGAGGCUGGGAGAGGAGAUCGGAAUUCCUGGUGUAGCGGUGAAAUGCGUAGAUAUCAGGAGGAACACCGGUGGCGAAGGCGGAUCUCUGGACCAGUUCUGACACUGAUGAGCGAAAGCCAGGGGAGCAAACAGG